ensembl:lncRNA
CAUCGAUGAGAAAAUUACUCUUCUCUCUUGAUUUAUUCCCUCAGUAAAUACUGUGAACGUGAGUUUACGGCCUUCAAUUCUUCUUCAAGACGGCACGAUGAUCAUUUAGUAAAUUAUGGGUAUGAGGGUCAAAUGGAGGCUGAAGCGGGGUCUUCUUUAGGGCGGGGCUACUGUGACGGGCGGGGUCCGCCGAGCCAUGUCCGCCGUCUCUUCGUCGCUCCUCAGCGUUCCAGAUUUGAUCAUCCAUGUUCGUUGGCUACAACGGAACCGACGUGGCAACAGCCGUCAUCCAACAUGGCAACGGCGAAGCUGUCGAGCUGGAGGUUCGAAAGCAGAAGUCCACAAACCACGUGGUGACGAGACGACGAAAAGUACUAUUCGAAUAGACAGCCUGUGUACUCAGAAGCCAAAUCCAACCCUAAUGGAGGGACAAUGGAACGUCAGCUAAGCCAGUGAUUCUAACUUAGAACAGCGGCAGGAACUGCAAUGUCAUCGCUUGACUCCUGUGGAAUUCAUCAAGAUUGUUUUAUCAUAUCUAUUACAUUGUAUUAAACACAUGAGGUGGAUGGAGGGGCAGCUAAACCGAGGUACAUUUAAUCAACAUGAAGUUUUGUAUAACAAAGAAGUACAAAAGGAACAUUCAUACCGUUCCCCGGUUUUCUUCCUCUUCGCAUGUGUUGUGAAAUACAUAUUUUUAUAGCUGCAGCACAUUAACAUCUUUCCACAGAACACUGCUAAUGACUUUCAUUUUGUUCAUUUCCUGUUCUUAUUAGCAGACUUCUUGCAUAUGUUUUCAUUUUUACAUUAUUUGUGUUGUGCGACGCAGCUCCAAGUACUGGACGCAUGUACCGCACGCCGUAAAUAAAUGGGACCAUCUCAGGGUUUUUUUUUUGUUUUUGAGCGAGCGCCUGUCAAAAAAGAUGAUGUGCGCUUUGUGCCGGAGGUCUGUAAACAGAGGAUCCGACCGACAGAUGCAAAACAUUUAGCUGUGCAACACACAAACGGAAACAUCUGUUUGCAUAGUUGAGCAGAAAACUCAGGUGUUUAGAGGAUCUUUGUAUACGAGCGCCAGCUCAAGCGGAAUACUCUAGAUUGGUAACAGAAAAUCUGUCGGCGUAGCAGAAGAUUUAGUUCACAUCCGUCUCCGACUGUUCAGACAUUUUGUGUUUCUAAUACUUAGUUGCUCGCUUUAGUUGUGAUAUUGCCAUUUGAUUGUAAUCUCCAGCUUGUUGAUUUGCUUAAUUCAGUUUAAUUCAUGUACUUUUAAAUGCCAUGUCAUCUAUUCAUGUACAUGUCUCAAAUGGGGCAGCAAAAGUAAAUUCAAGGGAUUUCUAUCAAACUGAUUUCACGUCAUGUAUUACCCCUCCCCUGCUGUUGUUAAUGUUAAUGUGUUAUUAUCAAUUUUUUAUGCUAAAUAUCACUGCUGUCACAGUGCUGCUGAUUUCAUUGUGUAUGACGUGGAAACAAAUCACACUCGGCUGGCACUGGGAGUCUCCCAAGUACAAUUACUCUGUUUACAUGCGCUAGUAGGGGAGGAAAAUUGCUUUUGAAAGCACUACUUAAGGUCAUGCCAUUGUUGCUGCGCGUAAGCCCGAUGUUUACCCAAGUAUUUUAAGGCAACUGAAAGCCGCGCCACGCAUCAACAAGUGUCUUAAACGGCUGCACAAAGGGCCUGUUUUCAGUCCAGCUGAGGCAAAAAAAAAAAACGCUCACCUAAUCCCUCGGAAGAGGCUCCUGUCCCGCCGCCGACAACCAAGCGAGGCCCCUUUUAACGAGGUGCCGAAGCCUUUUGAGCGCGGAGCAAACAAACAAACAAUCACCCGCCGCAUUUCCUCCACUAGGUUCCCCAAACAACUGCACGCACGACCCAUCUGCCCCGGCGCGGCGCGGUCAUCUGUGUGUGAUUAUUGGUUGUGCGGGAAAAUUCCGAUGACGUGCCGCGCUGGCGAGGCAGCGCUGCCCCUCUCUGAAACGAGCGGCGGCUCAUUUUCAAGCCUCUGCCUUUUCUCCGCGGCCAGAUUGCCCAGAGAGAUUGGCUUUCUCCGGGGCUGUGUAACAGAUACCACCUAAAUCAUUAGGGCUCACUCAUUGCCAUGUGCCACUCUGCGGCUCGGGUUCCUGUGACCCCCCCGCCCCCCCGAGGUCAAGCGGCUGAGAGCUCCCUGACCUCCAGCACUUCCUCCGAAUAUUAACAGGGUAGUUAUGUAGUCAAAAGCCCUGAUAUAGAACAUUGGUUCAUUUAGAUAAUUGCCAAUCAGGCGGAGCGGCGAGGAGUGCAGUGAUCUCCACAGGACGGCUGGGCCUUUAUGUGGCUCGCUGAGGGCAUAAUGACAGCAAACAGAGGAAGCGUAGGCCUCUCCGGCUGAAAUGAUGUGGUCACAUGCCUGUUGGCUGUAAUGCUUUCUUUUAACCCAGCUAAGUUGGGCUCCUGAUGGGGGGACAAAUCCAACCAGGCUCUAUUAUGAAGAUGAAUGCUGUGCAGUUAGCCUGCACACAUGAUGGAGUUUAAAGGGGCCACCGUGGUGAAAAAGACAUUUACCAUGAAAUCUCUGCAUGCGAUACAAUCCCCAAAAAAUGUAAAACGAUUUUUGAAAGAGUGUUUGUGUGAGUUAAAACUGUAAAUGAUUAGAUAGCGACAACGUGGGUCUGCGGGGGCUUUAUCAGCGCUGUCCCGUGUGACCCAACCUGGAACACACGCGCUGAAAAAUCCCUCACGGGAAGUUGCAGCUAGCCGGUGCCGAGGCCUCUCGGACGUGCACGCCGCGUUUAAAAGAAAUUGGCGCUUUUGAAAUGGCAAAAAAAAAAAAAAAAAACGCAAUCAGCGCAGCGUCUUUUAAUAGUUUGAUUGUGGCCAUUAGAGGGGAAAUCAUGUGAAGCCAUCCUCUCCCCUUGGACUGCCAGCUGUUCACACACUGCCACGCUAUCGGGCCUCUAAUCAGCGAAACGCCGCCGUGUGUUUGUGGAGCUGAAAUGGAGCGCGGCGGCCGCUCGGCGCUCAAUCGUCCGCGCGCUGGUGGAGCGGAGAUGGAAGCGGAGGAUGGAGAAGUUGUUGGUAGAAGUUAUUUUCUUUUGACUCACAAGUCAGUUGAGAGAAACUACUUGUUGUAGCUCGCGAGGGACGACCGUCACCUCACACGUUGUCCUUAGACAAAGUGGUCGUGUGUUCAUGUCCUAUGUGACGAUUGGUCCACCAGACUGAAACCGCUAGUUCGGAAGAGUGAAACCAAAGCUGAAGCGCCUUAAACAUUCUCUCUGGGCGACUCUUCAGAUACCAUAGAAGUCUAUGGGAAAAUGACUACUUCUCAGCUGAUUUAUUCCCUCUGUAAACAUUGUAAACAUGAUUUUAUUUAGGAAGUAUUGGUCCAUUUAGAGUGAAAUGUAGCAUAAAAGAGGCUAUGCUCUAAGGUGGGGCUCCCUUGUAUUUGUAUAAGGAGCAUCUCCCACUUUGUGGUCAUGCAACAAGAUGCCAAUGGUCAAAAUGCGGACUCAGGGCUCAAAAACCCAGUGGGUGAUAUCACAACAACGGCCUCCGCUGUAGGCCUGGCUUGGUUUUACGGUCUUACUUGGAAAAGAAAUGAUGGAAAUUACUUACUAGACUCUUUCCAUAUUGACGCUGUUGGUCACUGCCGAGCAGUUAACACCUGUGUGUGUGAGAAAUGUUGAUGAUUCGGGUUCAUGCACUCCGCACACAUUAGCAAUCCAGCUGAAGCAGAAAACAAAGGGAAGCAGUCAUCCUGCAGAUAACGUGGGAUUACGAGCCUCCCUCGUUGCCGCUGGACGCUGGCGCACGCCGCCCGAGGGAUCGCCAUUCUAAGCUCGAAUGCAUGACAAUUACAGCCACAUUCCCCCCAACCUCAGUGAGUAAAUAAACACCCAGAAACGAGUGGAUAAUCAUCGCGGCCACUUUUGUCUCAUUGCGGAAUUGAGAGGACCCACGGAGGCGGCCCUCCGCUAUAAAUAGUCGGCGGCAAUCAAAGUAUAUAAAUGAACUGUCAGAGCACAAGUAUUCACAAGCACGACAAAAUGUUAAGUAAUUAUGAGUGAAUUUGUUGCAUUUCUGGCUAAGUGGUAGCAGAUAGGCCUUUGACAGGGAGGCAGUGGUGUGCGGUGGGCUGAUUUAGAAUGUUAUGGCUGCCAUGCUCUGUGUAAACCCUCAACCCCAGCAACAAAAAGAAGAAGCCCAUUCACAUCCCACACUGACCACAUCUUAACGGCGAUAAAGACAUCUGCAGGGCCAUUACCCACAAUUAGCUGCACAUCAAGGAGCGCUGACCCCCCCCCCUCAAGAAAUGUGUUUGUCUCUCCAUGACCUACGUUUUUUGGGGGGGGCGUUUUCCCCUUUGUUUUUCUUUGCCCACGUAUCCGCUGAGUUUCUUUAAAGUUGUUUACGGAGACCAAUCAUGACCUGACUGGACAAAAAAAAAAAAAUGCAAUGCGUAAUGGAAAAUUGACAAGCAUAACAUUAUCCCGCUCUCAUUUGAGAGGUCUGAAGAAAAUGUAGCGUUCGGGUGACUCGAGAUGCUCCCCGCAUUACCAUAUUUGUGCACCAUAUGACAUGAUUUAUAGACAAUCAUGUGAUGAUUUACAUCUUGUUUUUGGCCUCAUUCAUGUGGCUUACUGAGCAGGGUUUGCAAAGUCUGCCUCGCUGAUUACAGAGAGAGUUUUGCUGCUAAAACAAUGUGCUGCAGUCAGAACAUGCACUGAGAAACUCAGUCAUCAGGCAUCAAGGGCUAUUUUUACACCGUAACUCUACGCCGCAACGGUGCGCCAAUACGUUGUUACGCUACACCGUUACGCUGCGUUGUUACGCUACGUUGUUUAAACUUUGCUGUAUAAGCUACGUUGUAAUUACAUUGUAACUGCGUUGUAACUAGAUGUAACUAGAUGUAACCAGAUGUAACUAGAUAUAACUACGUUGUAACUAUAUGUAACUACGUUGUAACUAUAUGUAACUACGUUGUAACUAGAUAUAACUACGUUGUAACCAGAUGUAACUAGAAAUAACUACGUUGUAACUAGAUGUAACUACGUUGUAACUACAUGUAACUACGUUGUAACCAGAUGUAACUAGAUAUAACUACGUUGUAACUAGAUGUAACUAGAUGUAACUACGUUGUAACUACGUUGAAGCUACAUUGUAACUACGUCGUAACUACGUUAUAACUACGUUGUAACCAGAUGUAACUAGAUAUAACUACGUUGUAACUAGAUGUAACUACAUUGUAACUACGUUGUAACUACGUUGUAACUAGAUGUAACUACGUUGUAACUACGAUGUAACUACGUUGUAACUACGUUGAAGCUACGUUGAAGCUACAUCGUUACACUACGUUGUUUGUUUUGUCGCCAUAACUUAACCAACCAAACACAUUUUUGGUUCAGAAACAUCACCAUUCUUCGUGGUUUGAAGAAACAAACAAUGCCAACAUUUUUCUUUGACUGGCUUAGUUUGAAUAGAGAGUGUAGAGGUGGGACUUUUCAGAGCCAUGUGGCGGCGACCUCCUCCUCCACACAAGGUCCUUUUAGAGCUGCUCAACGCGACAAUAAGCAAAUGACAGAUAAGGAAUGAUUUUCUAAAAGUGAAACCUCAAAAAUAAACAAACCAUUACUCCGUGCCACUGGAGAGCCGGGUUCGCGCUUCUAAUUCAGGUGAAUUGCAGACAAAUUUCCCCCGGCUGGCACACUUACAGCUGUAAUAAUACAGGGCGGGCGGCGGAGAAGUCCGGGGCUGCAGCCCGGCCUGCACAGCGUCCACACAUGGCCAGAGUCUGGCAGCAACACCUCCCGCGGCAGACCCGACUGCACAGUGCAAACGGCGCACAUAUUAUAAACAUGUGUUUUACAAAAUGUAAUUAAGGUGCUUUUUUGCAUUACAGCUAACCUUGUGUCAAUCUUAAAAACGUGUGUAAAUAACAUAUCUGAACUGCAUGCGUGUGUGAGUGUAUGUUUUUCCCCCAGUGCUAAACACUCAGAUUAGAACGACAAAGUGGGGUGAAUUUGUCCGUGUUUUCCCUAAAAGGAGCAGCGUGUUUAUUUUCUGUUUCUUCGGUUUCAAAGCUUGGGCACCAAACUGCAUAGGAAACACAAAGGAUUACAAUUAAAGAGCUUUGAUUGAAUGCUGUUUUCCAGCCUGUGGCACAAACAUUUUGAGUCUUUUGUCCUUUUAUAGGGAUUUUAAUGACCUAUUGGGAUCACUCGGUCUUAAAUGAUGUGUUACAGGAAAUAAACUUCAGAGACAAAUGCCCCACCGUUGCCCUGAGUCGCAUAAUGUACAACACAAUUAAUGGUUUGGAUGUUUACAACGGUUAGUAUUUGAAGCUUUGAACGCUUAAAAAAGAAAAAGGGGGGAACGCAGCAUCCAGCAGCUCUCACUGACUGUGAUUAAAUUAAGCUGAAUGUGAACAGCGAAGUGGGAGUUCUGCAAAGAGGCCGGAAAGCAUCCGGGACAUGUUCGCUUUGAAUUCCGCGCCAGUGAGGCCACACGCUCUCCUUCUCGGUUGGGGGUCCGAGGAGACCUCGCUGAGCCGCGGGUCCCCGGGCCGAGUGGUCCAGCAGGCAGUGCAAUGACGCGCCGCCCUCAAUCGCAGCCACCUUGAAAACAUCUGGCAGGUCUGAGCUCACCACAGGUCCCCCUUUCCCCCCGUCUUUACCGCAGAGGUGAGCGCUCUCACACACACACACACACACACACACACACACACACACACACACACACACACAGGGGAUGAAUGACCACUCCGAGGCCUGGGCCCGGUGGUGUAAGGAAACCCUCUGCUGGGACUAUGGAAGCGCAUUAGAGCGAGCGGCUGUAUGGAGGCCACAUUGCGGCAGUAUAACAUAAAUAUCUCAGACGACCCGGGAAGGGGGAGGCUUCAUUUACUUAUCUCAUAAAUAUUCAACCACCCAGCGAUUAGUGUUGUAUUCAGGUGUUAAUCAUCAAACAUCAAUGUGAGGCACCUAAGGACCUGCCUUCGUCCAGGUGGGGGGUGGGGGGGGGCUGACGGAGCGGAUGAAGCGUCGAAGAUUCACUGUCAGUCACUUGGGACUGAUCAUUUAUUGACGUC